rnacentral:lncRNA from 1 species
UGUACUCAGCAGCCACCAGCUCAAGAAAUGAGUUGUGGUCACCAGGCCCUCUAGACAAACGAGCUGAUUGCUCUUCAGCAAAAGCUCCCCCGUGGUUCUCAGCCCCAUGACCUGAUCUCCCGUCUGCAGGACAGUCCCCUCACAUACUCAUGGUGUGUUCAGCGUGGAGGUCUCUCUCUUAGCUGCUUUGAAGCUGAGUAUUAAAUGUCUGUGGGGUCUUGGACAGGCUGGCUGAACUCCCUGAGCCUCUGUUUUCCCAGCUGCAAGACAGGGAGGACGUCGAAUCACCUCUUGGUGCUGUUAGUGGUACAGUGGCCAGCACAUGAGCCAUCCCAGUCUGACUGCCAUGUGCUGGACAGCUGGGGCCUGCACUAAAUUGCCUUCCUCCUCCUCCUCUCUCCAGUCUGUGGGAUGGAUUUAAGGAUCGCUUAGGUAAUGUAAGGGAAACAUCUCUGCAAAUAAGAGAGUCCUAUGGUGUUCCUACCCAUCAUCGAUACUAUUCAAAGGCUACUUGACAAUCAGGGAGGAACAAACUCUCUCCUCCAACUACCGUCCCACAUGGAGAAAAGCAGCCUGCUGUGUGCACACAUCGCUGGGCAUGGAGAGCUGCCCAAUCUCUAGUGCUGGAAAGUGCCCGCGGCCCCACAUGGCAUCUCUCGCCCACGGCGUUUGGGAGGAACCCAAAAGUGAGGAUGAAGCCCGUCCUUAAUCCUCUGGGGAAGUCUGUCUCGGUGAGAACUCCAGCUUGCCACUGUAUGCAAAUACCUGUCUCCCUAGAAAUCCGCUUGACAGUGAUGCUGAGCAGAAAAUAUGGAACAUGAUGGUGUUGAGGGUAAAACAAACUGCCCUCCUUCCUGGGCCUGUAUCAGGGCAAACAGACCCUGCAAAGCCUUUACCUCGUGCUGGUUGGAGGACAUGCAUCAUUGGUGCCAUUUUGACAUUUCAACCUUUCUGCCGGGCCUCUGCAUUUUCAGUUUGACAAAUCGGCCUGCAGUAAUGGUCAGAAGCUGCCCUCCCCCUCCAUUCCUCCAAGUGAAAGACAAGGACUGCUGUUCUCUCUCCAUUGCAACAGUCGUCAAAUUAAAGACAGCUCUCCCCCAGAUGGUUGACUCUGCAUCUUCGGCCCAGACUUUUCCAUCUACGAGAACAGCUCAAAGGUAUUUGGCACUGGGAUCUCAGUGA